ACCCGCUGAACUUAAGCAUAUCAGUAAGCGGAGGAAAAGAAAACAACAGUGAUUCCCUCAGUAACUGCGAGUGAAGUGGGAAAAGCCCAGCGUUGAAUCGCUUACUCCUCACUUUAAACUGGGGUGCGAGUAAAUCGCGAGCGAUAUGUAACGUAAGGACGCACUGCACCAGGCCCUGUCGUGUUAUCAAAGUAUUCCUGGAAAGGUGCGCCAUAGAGGGUGACAGCCCCGUGUGUGAUAACAUGAGUGUCGGGUAAGACGGAGCCUGCUUGCGUUGUAAUUCUCUCAAGUGUGGCUGUGUGUUCCAUGAGUCGGGUUGUUUGGGAUUGCAGCCCUAAGGGGGUGGUAAACUCCACCCAAGGCUAAAUACUAGCACAAGACCGAUAGCGAACAAGUACCGUGAGGGAAAGUUGAAAAGUAUUCCGAAAGGAAGGUCAAAAGUACGUGAAACCGUUAAAGGGGAAGCGGAUGGAUGGGUCGAAGGCAAAAUUAGAUUCUUCUCAGUUCCGCAUCAUGUAACAUGUCCUAAAAUGUGGUGUGUCAUACUGAGUUACGUCAUGCUAAUCUGCCGAAACAGUCGUUGUGGAUACGGCCGAGGCAGGAUGGGUAAUUAAUUGCAGUUGUCCACUAUUUAGCGUUGAUCAAUCAAGGUGUUAGUAUGUGGUCACUGAUUGUGAUUAAUUACUACCUGUUAGUGUUACGCGCCUGUGUCAUUUUUAUCGCAUCAUGUGUGUGGUCAGAGUGGCACAGUGUGUGCUUUUGCUUUGGCAAAGGCUCACUGUGAACCGCACUUGUGACUCGGUGUAUAAAAAUUCGUCCAUGAUGACUGAGAAUUAGCGUUGUUGAAACGGUGCCAUGUGUCCCUACACAAUGUGUAGUGGACUUGGUGUGCACGAAGUGUGGCAUGUCCGUACAGCUACUAGCUGAGUUUGUUGUGUGUAGCAUUUUUUGUCUUAAAAACACAAGAGGUGCUGGCACGCAUCUUGUUUAGUUAGGACUGCAGUGUGUCAUCAUAUUGUCUAGGUGUUAAAUCUUGGCCAAUAUGUAAUGACUGCAGUCAGUCAAUGAAGCUCAUACUGUGCGGGGUAGUUUUAUCGAUGUAUAUACAACAGGUGUUUGCUUAAGUGUACGCCUCUGUAGUGUGUGUGUUUUUAGUCUACUUCAGUAGUGGGUGAGACCCCGUUAAAUUUUACCUAUGGAUGGGACGGAACGGUGUUAUUUAGUUAACAGCGCUCUGGCGAUCAUUCAUUGACAGUUGUACGAUAUUGAUGCGCGCGUAUCACCGUGGCUAGGCAUGCACGUGCACGCUAAGUACAUCAUAUUUGUAUUAUAAACAUGGCUAAUUUUCGGCGAGACACCAAUCCAUCCGACCCGUCUUGAAACACGGACCAAGGAGCCUAACAUAUACGCGAGUCAAAGGGUGAGUGAAACCCAGAGUAUUAUGAUACCCCCACCGUUGGUAUUUUUAUGGGUGUGUGACAUGGUACCAAUGGUGUGUUGGUGAUGAGGCGUAAUGAAAGUGACUACCAGUCGUGGUAAUGGGAUGGGAUCCCGUGGUGUAUCUGAAUUGUCUCAGAUACAGACACAAUGCAGUGUGUUGUGAGGACGGGCGCACCAUCGGCCGGUCUGCGCGUAGGUGCGGAUUGAGCGAGAGCGUAUAUGCUAGAACCCGAAAGAUGGUGAACUAUUCCUGGGUAGGGCGAAGCCGGAGGAAACUCUGGUGGAGGCUCGCAGCGAUUCUGACGUGCAAAUCGAUCGUCAAACCUGGGUAUAGGGGCGAAAGACUAAUCGAACCAUCUAGUAGCUGGUUCCUUCCGAAAUAUCCCUCAGGAUCGCUGAGACUUGAAUUGUGUCAAUAUUUAUACGGUAGUUUCAUCGGGUAGAGCUAAUGAUUAGAGUUAUUUGGGAGGUAUCACUCCUGAAACUGUUAUCAAACUGCCAACCGGUGAGAUUUAUUCGGGUGAUUUCUUUAACGUUCCGGUUGAGUGCAUCACGUGAAUGUGAUCCCACUGCUCGAGACCCCGAGUACUGUGGUGUUGUCUGACGGUAGUGGCACCUGUUGGUAUCGGGUUAUCAGGUGUGAUGUGUAAUUUGUUGUUGAGUGUACUGACGUCUUAGCUCCUCACGGUGUUGGGAUGGCAGGACGCCCAGCCAGCAGGCCAUGUUAUGCUUGAUAUCAACGGCCUUCGGAAUAGCGUCAUUGUCGUCCGUGUGAUGUGUGAUAUCGGAUUGGCGUGAAUAAUGGGUAUAUAUCCAAUGUGCCUUUUUUUGCUCAUUCUUGUGGUGGGCCAGGAAAGUGCUUAUUGAAAUUUACAAGUUGGCGGUGCAUUAAAUAAAAUAAAUAUUUAUACGGUCGUACUGUCCAUAGGGACUUGUGAGUUUUCCGGUGUUGCCUGUUUUUUUUCACGCCAAGCAGUGAGUUCACUGCGCGUGAGGUGGGAUUUUAAUUUAAAGAGAGGUGAAUCAUCCCCGAAAUGGAUGGGUAUGAAAUGUGAAAUAAAAUUUUGUCCCUAUCCCUGCAUCAAAGAGUCGGUGUUAUGUGUUAACCACGCUCUCGUGUGAUUAUAUCAUCAGCGCACGCACUUUUAGACGUAGAUGCAGAAUUGAAUACCAGAGUCUCAAGUGGGCCGUUUCUGGUAAGCAGAACUGGCGAUGCGGGAUGAACCGAAAGCCGGGUUAAGGUGCCCAAGUGGACGUCCACGGACACCAUCAAAGGCGUCGAUCAGUAAAGAUAGCAGGACGGUGGCCAUGGAAGUCGGUAUCCGCUAAGGAGUGUGUCACAACUCACCUGCUGAAUCGGUCGGCCCUGAAAAUGGAUGGCGCUUAAGCGUUCCACCGAUACCCGGCCGUCGAUGAACGAAAUGAUUUAACUAUCGACGGGUAGGAAGGCGCGACGGUUUUUGUGUCAAUUGUGUUUUUUAUUCCACCGCUCUUAAGAGAGAUGUAAGAAAUUAUUAAAUUAACAAUAUGUCCUAAAAUCAGUGAUGCGGAGAAGGAUUGAGACGUAAGUCUAUCCGGAGCAGCCGUCGGUGCAGAUCUUGGUGGUAGUAGCAACUAUUCGAAUGAGAACUUUGAAGGCCGAGGUGGAGACGGGUUCCACGUGAACAGCAUUUGGACGUGGGUCAGUCGGUCCUAACAGCAUGUUUCAGGCAAAGAGAAGAGGACCUUUAACGCAAGUCCGCUUCUAAGGCUGCGAAAGGGAAUCCGGUUAAUAUUCCGGAACCAAGUGGCGUGUGCAUAUACACACUUGUUGCUGUGUAUGCACGUAUUCGGAGAUGGCCGUGGGUGUGAGCGAAAAAUCACGUGCGUGUGUGUGUAAAAAUGCAUGCGCACGCGCUCUGGUCGUUCAUAUUUAUCUACAGGUCUUGGCGGUAACGCAAGCAAACCCGGAGACACCCUUCGUGGUCCUGGAAAGAGUUAUCUUUUCUUGUUAACACACCUAGUGAUACGCCCUGGAAAAGAGUCAGUCUGAGAUAGGGCUAUGGGUGUGGAAGAGCAUCGCAGUUUCGGCGGUGUCCGGUGUACCACGGUGUUGAGGGUCCUUGAAAAUCCGGGGGCGCGUAUUCACUAAACCUAAUGAGAGUGCAUUUCAGCACGUAUUUUGAAAUUCUCGGGUAUGUGUGUGCUCUCAUUCACGGUUAGUGUGUUCAUUUUCGCACUUGUCCGUACCGAAUCCGCAUCAGGUCUCCAAGGUGAACAGCCUCUGGCGUUGAAACAAUGUAGGUAAGGGAAGUCGGCAAAAUCGAUCCGUAACUUCGGGACAAGGAUUGGCUCUAGGGUUGAGUCACCCGGGCCAUGGCUAGUGUCUCUCGAUAUAUUUGGGCUUGCACAGAUUCUUAUGUGUAAUUGUUGUUGUUGUUAUUGUUAUUUUUCAAUAAUGACACACACCAAUCUCCGCAUAUUUGUCUCGUCUUUCCCUAAUCUGGAGAUCUACAUGGUUGGAGUGAGGGAGGUGAAUAAUGGUCUGUUUGCUUUUGCAUGCUCGCCCUUAUUUACUUUUUUCCCUCCCCUGGUGAGGUGGUGGGCGUGACAAACGCUCAUUAAAUUAAUAUUACACUCAUCAAGUUGCCCUUUAAGGAGGUGAUUGGGUGCUGUUACUACGUGCAGCAUGUAUAAAAAUGCCACCAGUUUUCAAUCAGGUGUCGGUGUUUAUGCUUUUUCUUAGCACCUUAUGGUGUUGAGAGAUUGAUUUUAAUAUGCUACUCUUGUCUGUCUGUGGCAUGAGGCAUUGGUUGCAGAGGAGACCAGGGCAGAGUGUGUUGAGAUGCAAAUUUCUUCCACUCCCUUUCUCUUACUCACAGUGCUUCUGCGUGCUGUGACGUGCAGUGUUCGGUGGGUGACAAAUGAACAACCAACUUAGAACUGUCACUGACUCGGGGAAUCCGACUGUUUAAUUAAAACAAAGCAUUGCGAUGGCUGGAAACGGUGUUGAUGCAAUGUGAUUUCUGCCCAGUGCUCUGAAUGUGAAAGUGCGGAAACGCAACAAAGCGCGGGUAAACGGCGGGAGUAACUAUGACUCUGGAAAAGUAGCCAAAUGCCUCGUCAUCUAAUUAGUGACGCGCAUGAAUGGAUCAACGAGAUUCCCACUGUCCCUACCUACCAUCAGCGAAACCACAGUCAAGGGAACGGGCUUGACUGAGACAGCGGGGAAAGAAGACCCUGUUGAGCUUGACUCUAGUUUGACUUUGUGAAAAGACAUCAGAGGUGUAGCAUAGGUGGGAGGUAGUCGCUUUUCUGUUGUUGGCCACACGGCCAGGUAAAACUGGCUGUGUCAUCAACGCAGAAUGACUGCCGAUCUUGAAAUACCACCACUUUGGUCGUUUUUUUACUGACUCGGUGAUAAGGAUCAACUCCACACAAUAAUGUUAGUGUCUGGUGACUCUGGUGCCAAUGUCAGUGUGUAAAAACGCUGGCUUUGCGCAUCAACACUUGGGCACUGUCAGAUGUUGUUAUUAAAAUCUCAGAUGCUAGCCAUGCCAGAGCCUGUAAAACGGUGCUGGUGUGUAAUGCUGGCAUCGGGGUGGAGAUUAUGGUUCGUUGUUUAGUGUUGAAAGCGUCAGUUGGAUGCGAAGAGAAAAAUUUGCGCAUCCACUGCGCUGACCUGUGAGUGAGUCGGUAAUGUGGUUUUGAAAGGCCAUGUUGUACCCGGCUCACUCCUCGACAGCGUAAUAACAGCUUUUUUCAGGUGUCUUGAUUGGCUGUUGAUGUAUGCAUAAUAUAUUAAUGGUUAAUUACGGUAUUGGUGAAAAGUGGGGUGUAAAAGCCUCAGUUGUUGCGAUGAUUUGCCGAGGACAGAGUCAGAUGGGGAGUUUGACUGGGGCGGUACAUCCUUUAUAACACAACGAGGAUGUCCUAAGGCGAGCUCACCGUGGACAGAAACCACGGGUAGAACAUAAGGGCAAAAGCUUGCUUGAUUCACGUUCUCAGUGUAUGAACGCGAACUGCGAAAGCAUGGCCUAACGAUCCUUUAUAAUAACACACCUGAGAGUUUCAGGUUAGAGGUGUCAGAAAAGUUACCACAGGGAUAACUGGCUUGUGGCGGCCAAGCGCACAUAGCGACGUCGCCGUUUGAUCCUUCGAUGUCGGCUCUUUGUAUCAUUGGAUCGCAGAAGGUCCAAAG
rnacentral:rRNA from 1 species